UUGGUUUUAGCUCAGAGGUAGAGCGUCCGAUGUCCAAUCGGAUGGUCGCGGGUUCGAUCCCUGCAAGCCAAUCCA
rnacentral:tRNA from 1 species